rnacentral:rRNA from 1 species
ACGUAGGGUGCGAGCGUUAAUCGGAAUUACUGGGCGUAAAGCGUGCGCAGGCGGUCUUGCAAGACAGUGGUGAAAUCCCCGGGCUCAACCUGGGAACUGCCAUUGUGACUGCAAGGCUGGAGUACGGCAGAGGGGGAUGGAAUUCCGCGUGUAGCAGUGAAAUGCGUAGAUAUGCGGAGGAACACCGAUGGCGAAGGCAGUCCCCUGGGCCUGUACUGACGCUCAUGCACGAAAGCGUGGGGAGCAAACAG